AAGUUAAUCAAACUUUGUUCAAUUUUCCAUUUUUUUUUAUUGUCAAACAUAAUAGCGGAGCCAGCGCGGAGCCCCAUAGGUAUAGAAAUGGUCUAUAACUAGGCGACUCAGAUUUUAUGGUCAAUGACGUCAUUGUCACAAGCUGCCAGCCAGCCAGCCUCGAUUUGCCUCGGCACAGGCCUUCAGAGCGCGCAAAACAAUAUGGCGGAUGAGUAUUUUCUGCCCCUCUAAAAAACACACGAAAACUGACUGCAGAAAAGCCAUGAAUUGUCGAAAAAGAAGUGCUUGAAAAUGAUCGUGGGAAUGCUAACCAAUGAUAUGAAUUUGUGUAAUUAUGUGCAAAAGACUGUGUAAAAGCAUGAUUGAAAGUUUUGAAGAGUCAAGUCUUGUGCUCAAGUCAAGGUCAGCUGAAAUGUCAGAGUAAGCCACGAGAUAAAGAAAGAAAGAACAAGCUAAUUUCAUGGACACCUUCUCCGACAAGUGCUCCUAUGUAUUUGUUCUUGCACUGGCAGACGUGGGUCCUACCACCCUAAUACCUCUACUUCCAAGUCCUCCUAAUUAGGAUUAAUGACAAAGUGAUGUUUGUUUGCUUUCCACGUUUCGCUAAAAAAGAACGCCAAAGCUGGGGCUGCGAAUACACCGAUAACGAUCGAACAGCCGUGGGUACUUGGACCCAUGUGGAGCUGGCCAAAGACUUGGAGAAAGGUUACCGUGUCUUCAAAGUAUAUGAGGUAUGGCACUGGGAGGAAUGGGGCCAGCUGUUCGGGAGUUACAUCGCACAGUUCUUGUAAACAAGCAGGAGGCCUCUGGCUGGCCUGCAUGGUGCCGGACCGACGAUGAUCGGGAGUGCUACUUAAGCAAUUUCCUGGAGCACGAGGGUAUACGGCUGGACCCCCAGCGUAUCAAUCGGAACGAGGGCUGUCGCGCUGAACAGUAUGUGGAGAAGCUCGGGGAGCGAGCGCACAGAGUACAUUAAAACAGAGUUUGUUCCGCAUACAGAUGAGUGACGAUGUUGAAGUGAGCGAUUGCAUUUUUGUGAACUAUGAGCUUUUACAAGUCCAUCGCAAGAGUGUCAAGCACUUUACGGCACCGAAAGCGCACUCCAAUAUUGUCAUUGCCGCAUACACCACCGCGUACGCGCGACUAAUGCUCUACAACACCCUGGAUAAACUGGGUGAGCGUGUGCUGUACCAUAAUACGGAUAGUGUUAUUAACAAGACUACACCAGGCCGGACCUCUCUGCCCGUGGGCGACUAACUUGGAGAAUUGACCGAUGAGCUCCCACCUGGCGAUCAAAUCACUUUCUUCGUAUCUACUGGGCCUAAAAGCUACGGAUAUCGAACACUUCAAGAGAAAGUGGAAUGCAAAGUAAAAGGGCUAUAAGUCAAUGUACGCACUCCAGCAGUAGUCAACUUGGAUACCAUGGUGGAAUUGCUUGAAGGGGUCGGUGAGAGAUUAAGGAACGUUGAUAUCCCCUUCUCCAUUGCCCACGAAGUGCACCGCCGUACCUUACAUACUCGUGCUUUGUCAAAGACGUUUCGGGUCGUGUACAAUAAGCGCGUGCAAAGAGGGAAACGCUCUUACCCCUAUGGGUACAACAGCAUUAGCUAGGGAGAUAGUCUGGAUGUGAAUGGUCGUAGAUGUAAAUAUGUAGAUAUGUAGAUAUUUCAAGGGCGUGAACAAUAAAGUAUAAACCUUUUUCUCCCAGAUAUUUUUGUGUUCCGAGUGGUGGUGCGCCAGUUGAAGUAAGAAGCUGUUCUGGUGGGUAAAUGAUAGAAUUGGGUGCUGUUUUGGUAAAGAUCCCCAAGGACCCGCAACUGAGUUGUAAAGCCACCGGUCCACAAAAACCUGAAUGGUAUCUCUAUCCCAACUCCUGACACAUGGAAAAGCAAAAGCGAUGAGAGGGAAAAAGUAGAACAUGGGAAAAACACCUCGGCAACUCCAGGGCUCGAUAGUAGGGCGGGGUCAGAGAAAGCUUUCGACCCCGUUAACAAAGACAAAAAAGCCCAUAAACAAUCCCCAAAGGUCUCAAAGAAAUCGUCCAAACAACUCCAUGACAGCUACAAUGAUCCCUCGGACCCGGCGGCCUUUGGUUGCGUGGAUAAAUUAGCGCGGGCCAAACGAAACAAGGGGGUAACACAUCAGCAAGCCGAACUAAGUUUACGCUCGCAAACACUUACGCACUCCAUCGCCCUUGCGGACGACGAUACAAACGCCAGCGCAUCAUAGUGCAAGGGAUGGAUGAGCAAUGGCAAGCGGACUUGAACGACAUGCAAUCGUUGAAGAAGCAUAAUAAUUACACCCUCACUAUUAUCGACGUGCUGAGUAAAUUUGCCUGGGCGGUACCACACAAGAACAAAACAGGAAAUGAACUAGACAUGGCGUUCAAACGAACUUUUAAAGGAAGUGGUCGCAAGCCUGAGAAAUUCCAAACCGACGAUGGCUCGGAGUUUAAGAAAAAAGUAUCCCAAACCCAUUUUUCUACACGUAGCGAGAUAAAAGUGUCGACAGUCGAACGGUUUAAUAUGACUCUAAAAACCAAGAUGUGGCGGCACUUCACUUCACUUCACUCACAGAAACACGCAGCGGUACGUCGAGGUACUCCCAAAGCUAAUACAGAACUACAAUCACACCAACCAUCGCAGAAUUAAAAGAACGCCGGUGGCAGUGGUCACCCCGCGUGACGCCCAAGAAGUGUAGCACGUGCUAUAUGUUAAAAAAAAACGCAAACUGCUGAAGCCCAAGUUUAACGUGGGUGACCUGGUCAGGAUAAGUAAAGUCAAGGGGAUGUUCUCUAAAAGGUAUUCGCCCCAUUGGACUAAAGAGACAUUCAAGAUUAGCAGGCAAUUCAUCAAACGCAACCCUUAUGCCUACGAGUGGAGAGGGAUGGGACACCCCUGGAGGGGAGGUUCUACAAGUCCAAGUUGCAGCUCGUUGAUGUGGAUGAGGAGAACGAUUACUUUUACGUAGAGAAAAUCCUUGACUCACGCGGGCGUGGUAGGAAAAAAGAAUAUCUGGUCAAGUGGGAGGAAUGACCCAUAAAUAUAAUAGCUCCGUGGCCAUCUCGCAGCUCCACAUCGCCCAGAACGCCACGGUGUUUAGGCCCAAGUACACUUUACCAAGGGCUGACGAGUACCACAUGUUUUUGUCAAGUAACGCGAUUAAGGGUGCUCUACCGGAGAACACCGCAUCAAACUUUGGGAUCUUACACGAUCACCGGCUUGAUUUGUCCGAUGGACCGUAUCAGUGCGCGGUCACUAAUGUGGUGGUCCCAAACAAAUGGCUACACUUCUCUGAUUUCGCGCACACUCUUUGGAUCUACGUUAAAGUCACACCUGAUCAGCGUAAAACGAUCCAUUACGCUCAAUGGGUAAAAGUUAAAAUCUCUACUAUAAAAAGAACGUCCGACAUGUGGGUAAAGACUGCAAAGUGCCAAAGUGCCCUUGAGAGUUUCUCCAGCCUGCCAUACGUUUAUGAUAUGGUGGGGACCCAAGGCCCACUUCUUAAUGGCGCUACGCAUGGCCAAAGCCCAUGGUCUCUCGAACACCGUAUCGCAACGAUUUUUGCGUAGUAAGUUAAAUCCUGAUAAGGAGUCCUUGGUACCGGGUAUUCCAACGUUUGGCAUGCCACCAUGGUACGGGUCACAAAAGAAACAAACCUGGUGUAUGCUGUCUACGACUAUAUGCGCCGCUCUUCCUCGUUUGUCUCGAUUGAGAAUGCGCACAGCCCAAAAUUAAAACCGUUCCAAGACUACUAUUUGUACUUAGGCACACAACAGGGUGCGUUGUACCUCAUUACUAGGUACACACCCGUGCACGCGACAUCCCCCGAACACCUGAGAUGGUGAAGGCACCCAACUGGUUUAAGCAAGUCGCAAUGGGGUUGCAAGAGAAUAUAGCUAAGGAGUUACGUGAAGACAUGGCUCGGGGAGGGCCUGCUCAGAAAGGAAAUGAAAAUUUUCGGGGAGGACCCGUAACACAAGGCGGAAGGGGAGGAUUCCGUGGCUCUCCACUCACCCAAAGCGGCCGCGGGUCAUUGGCGCUUAAUGGUUCACACCCUUUCCUAGGGAUACCCAUGCCAGCGCAGCGCGGUGGUGGAGGUGGCGGGAGUGCCCCACGGGUGAUUGGCAAUACUUUGAGCACUGCCUACCUCACUUAUUCGCAUUCACCCUCCCACUCCCUCACGCAAAAGACCAGGAACCACCAGGCCGUCAACUACCAAGAAAACAAGAAAGAUAUAAUAAAUUUAGGCAUUACCUAAAAGCGGAGCUCCAAACGACCAAAUAUUUGCUUAUUUUCGCUUAAUAAUUUAAGAAAUAUUAAAUAUUAUUAUAUUUCUGUUUUUUUACAACGAUUUCACAGAUCACGCGACCAACAUGUUCAUUUUGAUAAAGUGUUCAUUUUGAUAAAGCAUAUUUUGCUUAAUGUGACGUCAUUGAUGAUGACACAAUUACCUGACCAUGUUAGAGCACCCCCCUUUACACCAACAUGACAUAAGAACUACAGAGUUUGGUUGAGAAACAUUGUUUCUUUCAAGAGAUCUGAAUGUUUUGCUUUAAUUCACGUUUUUUGCUUUAAGUGACGCCACCGAUGACGUCACACAACACGUGACCAUAUUGUUGCAUCCCUCGUGACACCUACAUGAAACCAACCGAGUUUGGUUGCUAUAGAUGUUUCCUUCGUAUAUUUGUGCUUCUAAUGACGUCAUCGAUGACGGCACAAAUCACCUGACCACAGUUUUGCACCUCUCUUGGCACAUACAUGGCACCUGCUAGUUUGGUUGUCAUACGAUGCUUCUAAGGGACGGACGGACGGACAUCGCGUCACGAAAACUCUAGUCGAUGGGAUACCAAUAUUUUUACAAUAUUUGUUUUGUAUACCACUUUUUCUUAGGUACGGGGCUCCACUCACGCGGCGCUUCGCGUGAGAGCUCCGCUGAAAAGCCACCGCUAUAACCGCUAGGCACCAUUCAACGCCAACACCAUACACUGUCAGGAGCUCCGCAGUAUGGCUGUAUCCGUAGCCACUGUUUAUAAAAGCUCCAAAAUAGGCUAUGGCAGAGAAUUAGACUUAUUUUCUUUACCCUUUACCCGAAGGGGAAUACCUGAAGUACCCCAAAAAAACCGAGGAGGGUGAUAAAUACACGUUCAUUAUCCCGGUAUCAUCCCAUUGCAUCGACCUGAAAAAGACGUUCCUUUCCAUGAUGGUCAAACUCACGCUGACGACGGCAGCAACAUAGAUAACAACCGAUCAGUCGGUCUGGUCAACUACCCCGUUUGGAGCCUUUUCAAAGAGUUGAACGUAUGGGUAAAUGGUGGCAAGAGGGAGCUCAGGGGACCUUUAUCCCUACAAAACCUAUUCCCAAGCCCUACUGAACUUCUCGAAAAGCGCCCACGAGACCUACCUGGCUGGGAGCAAGGAACAUGAAUACCCACGCAACCAACGGGGCGGAAGCUAAUAAUCAGGGACUGAAAAAAACUGGGAGCGAUAACUAUCGCCGCACGUGCAACCAAAGGCGUGGGUAUGGUUGGAAAUGUGCACUCUGACCUGUUCUCCAGCGACCGGUAUUUGAUACAUGAUGUGGAGCUCAAAUUGGAAUUCUUCCUAAACGGUCCUAAAUUCGCAUUGAUGUCAACUGCCCAAGACGAGAAAAUAAAAAUACAUGACCUGACCCUCAAUUUCAAACACGUCGAACCAACCGUGUCUGCCGGCCUGGAAAUCGAAAGAGCACUUAACGCGGGUAACACAGCCGAGUACCCGAUAGUGAGCAACACGAUCCAACCGCUGACUAUCCCUACAGGGUCGAGCACUUUCCAAAAGUUUGACUUAUUUUUAAACAAAAUCCCAAAAGCCGAAACCAGGGCGAAACACAUCCAUACAGCUAAGCCAUUACCUCGACAUCACCAGGGGACGCCCUCAUAUACCACUCCCUACACAAGUCGGUGCUCGGCGACCUCGUGGGUGAUAGUGUGGGCAUCACCCUGGAAGAAUUUAAGAACGGGUAUACGAUAUACGUCAUCAACCUCACUGAAGGCCAUAACGCUGCAAAAGGUAGCUACCUCCCAGAGUAUAAUGGUCGCGUGGACCUCUACCUGCGGUUCAAACAGACCACCACUUAAAACUUGUAUUUGCUGGUCCUAGGUGAGUGGGACAAUAGCUUAAAAAUUAACAAGGACUGAUAAGUCGUCUUCACCCCAAACCUCUAAACAAUGUACACCGAUAUGCUUGAAGACAUCGCGUGCAACGAUGAGCCAUUGGCGGCUGUGUUUGGAGGGCUAAUGUCCAGUGACAAGCUGGGCAAGCAAAAAAGGGUUGGGGACACGGCCCACACCGUUAACACCGACCCUAGCAAUAAACCUGGUAUGCAUUGCCUGGGUGUCUACGAGAUUCCUGACCACCUUAAGUUUUUCGACAGUUUUGCUUUUAACCCCCGCACGUAUGGGAGUGGCUUUCAACGAUUUUGUCUUCAACACAAUAUUGUCGUGAAGAACAAUCGUCGCGUCUAAGCCCUCACAUCGCCAUAUUUUUUACCUCUAUUACCUCACCCUAUGACCCCUGAACGACCCUCCGGCCUGAGUGACGACAAUACCAAUGAAGAAACCAGCACGUCCGCUACCACAGUCACCACAUCACCCACAGGCACUGGGGACAACUUAACCUACCCCCCAUCCCCAUAACGCCAUUGAACAGCAGGCCUGAUUUAGCAGAACCCCCGACCGCGAACACUCAGAUGUACGGGCCUACCGAGCAUUCUCUCACUCUCGCACACUACUGUACACGGCACCCGACGCUGUGCCAGAAAAAAAUGAACCUUACUGCUGGGUAUGGCAGUAGCAGUGUUGAGGUUAAUGAUUGCGAAACUGCCAACUACCCCAGGCAUCCCAUCGAUGUCUCUUUGCAACCUCGGAUACAGAGCCCACUAUCCAGCCAUGGAAACGUGCAGCAACGCCUUCGCGGACGUAACAAUGGUAGCACAGCCCUACGCAAGUACCGCCGUGUUUCCCGUGUAUGCGUCAGCGAACACCUUAGUGGGGAGGUGGUGACCAAAUGCACCACCCGCCGUCGCACCACCAGACCCCAAACGAGGGAGCUUUAAAAAGUAUGAAAGACACAGCGCCACACGUACACAGGCACUCGCAACUAUGGACCGCCCACGAAAAGGUAGACGCCACCAAGCGCCUCCUAAAAGGGGUCGGGGGGGAUUGAAAAGAGCAAUGAUAAAAAAAAAACACGUUGUCGACAGUACCUGCAAGUGGCAACGUGGCGGCCUCACCUUCCAUAAUCCCAUGAAUGUGAUAAUAAAAGUACAGAAUGCUAUAAAAAUACCAACUUCGGUACCCCUCACUACCAUUCACGACAAUGGCAUCGCCACGGAAAGGCCGGAGUAAGAGGGCUUCAACAAAACGCCGCACCAAGAAAAGAGGCCACCCUAUGUUCGGACCACCAAGACAACGUGGGGGGCUAGGCCCACUCGCACUACUCGCUGAGGCCGGCCUCCUCCACAUGCUCAGGAACUUAUUAGGCGGUAAAUGAUACAAAAAGCGCCGCUGGCUAGCCACAACCCUCAUCCACAACAUGCCGGUUACUUGGAAAAGAGGAAACCGUAAAAGCGGGAGAUGUCCACGCCGCUGCAAGGACCGCUUAAUUAGAAAGCACCUUUCCUCGAGAUGGUGCGUACCGCAAAACCGCCGUUCAGCCACCCCCGAACAAGUGAACAGCGUAAGCGAGAUCGCACGCAAUAUUAUUUAGGAAAAUAUUCUGCUCUCGCCUUACUACUACAAAAAACUCAGGCCGCAUCGUACCCGGUUAGGAAAGAUUGCAAACCGUUCCCUAGGAACCGCCGGAAAAGAAUUAUGAACUAGGGUGGUGGUUGGGAAAUCUCCCUUCUUAUCGGUGCCCUGGAAGGCUCAGCGGCCCCUGUCCUGCAGAAACACAUAUCAAAAAUCUAAAACGAUUGGUGGUUUGGAGGGGACGCGUAUAUUAUGCACUAUCCCCACGAGAGCCUGCACCUUUCAAAAGGCCCUACCAUGCCAGCGUGAAGGCAAUGCAGGUCAAGCGAUGAAUACUACAACAAGGCACGACGAUGUGUACUGAUUCCCGAAGACAUGGCCCUUAUCUUGGACAGGCUGAAAGUCAAAUACCAUAUAGAUUCCCACCACAAUACGGGACCAUGUCACAACUCCCCAAAAAGAUGUCAGCCACAAUGUCAACGUCAAUGUCAACCACACCCUCCCACAGGAUAUUAGGUGACGGAAAUACCUACGACUGCACCGAGAGUUUUUAACAUAAGCAGAGCAAACAACAUCAGGAAGCCCCACAGUCAGCAACACUGUCGAGGGGGAGAUCAUCAAAAUUCUUGCUAGCGCACCUAUACCACCUCAAGAAACCCCCUGACCACGAUCGCAGCCUACUCUACCAUCACACUCACCGUCAAAGAUCCCAGUACAAACCAAGAGAAAACGACUCCCUCCACCGCAGGAAACCUCUCGAUCACGAACGAUACCAGCACCACCAAACUACCCGCCACGACGACCAAACCCUCGACGACUUAAUGCUUAGCGUGGCGACCACAAUCCGCUCCAACAAUAUCGUUGCUAAAUUGAUGCCCUGAAUCCACGGAUCGGUAGUAACGUAGAAGGGUCGCAAACUUUUGGCACCCGAACUUUUCGAGGUUUAGACAGGGUAUGCCAAGAGCGCCCAGUAGACGUCUUUCGUACACCCCACCCUUUUAUCCGACGACCCCGCCUCGCCCUUAAAACUUGUAUCACACAGAAACCACAGCCUUCAACCUCUCGUGUUUGACAGCCAUCGGGGCUCGAUACUGAAAAGACAGCCCAUGGACGUGUCUCUCCGCGCUUGUAACAAUACGACACUGCCACGGUCUGAGGCCGUGCAUCCUGAUAGGAUUAAUAAACUGCUGACCAAGGACGUCUUGGUGUUGGUGACAAAAAAAAAAACAUCUGCUUUGUGUAAAACUCCUGCCCAAUUUGGAACCCGUCCAGAUCCAGCACAGCAGUCACUUUCUCGAAAGUAGUUUUUUUCACCAUCAGGACUAGCCACAAACGUCCACUCAGGACCCGCAUGGCUGUUUUAUUAGCUAAACCAUCCAACCGUAUUACAGAGAUAUCCAACACCGUUAACCAGUGAAAACAUAUAUUUUAUUCCUGUCAACACAUCAUACAACGAUGCCGCUAUAACAUUAUACUACCCCUGGAUAAUAAACACACAGCACUACGUCAACGCGGUACGUUUAACCGAGCCCUUAGCGUAACAAGAAAUGCGCCAUAACUGCAAAAUAACAAAACCAUUACCAUAUGGUAAUGGUGUGUAAUCCUUGAUAAUUCCACUGCAAUUAGCUAAAUGUAUUGCCUAAAGGUAAACAAAGUUUUUUACAUAUUUGCUAACAUACAUAAGUCAUAGUCGAGUGCGUGGUAAAAGGUAACAGGAUUAGAUUUCACAGCAACAUUGGAUUGAGAACAAAAGCAGCCGAGUGAACAGGAUUUAGGUCUCCACUAACAAAUGCUCUUACCCGUCUCGCAGUUUGUUCCUGUGAAUCCAGGAAUGCAUGAGCACGUGUACUUGUUAACGCCGUCAUUGCAUGUGGCUCCGUUCUGACAGGGACCACUUGCGCAAUCAUCAAUAUCUUAUACACAAAGUUUUUAGAAACCGUAAGUGUAACCCGAGGGACAUGUGCACGUGAAGCUAUUUUUUCCAUCCAUGCAAGUCCCUCCGUUUGCACAAGGAUUACCAGCACAUUCGUCCAUGUCUUCAAAGAUAGAAACAAUCUCAAUGGAAGAAGCGUUUACGAAAAUAGUCGUCGUUGCUUUCAUGAGAAAAAGCAAUAUUUAAAAAGCGGUUAUAAAACUAUUAACCAUUGACAUUCAUCGAAAGACGAAAAAUAUGACCAAAAUAGGAUUUAAAUGUGCACAAUGACUCUUAAUGUAAUUAAAUUGACUUACAAUAUAAAUAACAUGUAUUUGUAAUUCAUUUCCAUCCGCUCACAGUGUGUGAUCACGGUACUCUGUUACUCUUAAGGCUAGUUCUCACCGACGUAACCGUAAGGGGAGACGGAAGCGUAAGAGUCUGAUGUCGCGUGAGAACCGCGAGCAAGGUUUUACGCACGCUCAGUUCGUAGUCUAGUGCCCAUAACUUUUCGACGAGCCAAAGCUGGAUGGGCUAAUUUAUACUUAUAUUCCGCUAAUGAUUACGUGGACCCUGUUCUCAGGCGACAAAAGACUCGUACACUUCCGUCUCCGCUUAAGCUUACGUCGCUCGUGAGAACAAGCCAUUAGUUUUUAGUAAGUUAAAAUGAGCCGUUCAUUCUUCUGUUACAGGACGGGUUGUCAUAUUGUUUAGAUUAUAGUUACUUGUCAUCUAGUAUUUCAUGUUCCUAUCAUGAAAAACAGAAGUUAUUAAGUUUUCUUUAUCUUUUAAGGAUAAUUUAGAUUUUUUUCACAAUUGUAGUUUCUUUAGUCUAGAUUUUAGCACGCUCGUGGACCCUCUGCUUCGAUGGCCUUUUGGUGCGUCUAAAUCCAGGGAAGGUUCAGUUUCUUAUACGUGGCAGAAUCGUGGUUUCUUAUUUUCGUUUCAGACAUUUUAUUUGGCAAGCUAAACUCUUAAAUGUUCUUCAGAACCACAUGCCAUUUUUAGCCUUUGGUUUAGACAUCAUCAUCAUCAUCAUCAGCUUGAGCCGUUAUUUUAAAAGUUGCUUAAUCAUAAGUGUUAUCUUAGAGUCACCUUGACUUAAUUGAUUAUUUUGUAAAUACGCAGGGACGAGAGACCAACCCUGUGAUUUCCCAUGCUCUCACGCUUUUGCUGAUUGGUUCGUUUGGCCGAAUGUAUCCAAGUCUCCCCGUUUCCUGUUGAAUUGUUUUACAUUUAUUUCCUUUCUUGUUGGACCACAACAUGGGUUGCUGUCUGGUCCUAGAGUAUAAAUGUAGAGAGCCUAGUACAGUGUUGUUUUAUUGUGGUUGCUGUUCUGCGGUUGCGACUGUGAACAAUUAAAGCUUGAAAAUACAAGCCUCGCCUUCGUCUUAAUCCUAAAGAUCCCGAGAAGUGCACAUAACACUUCUAUGAAAUAAAAUUUUUAAAAUCUCAA